GGAAAUUAAAGACCACUUUUUUAGUUUAUUACAUAUAUUUUUGCUACAUUUACAUUUGUAUAGUUUUUUUAUCAUUUGUCGGUGCUAAAUUGCUCCUGCUGCUGUCAUCUCCUUUGACAGUAUCAAAUUUCAUAAUUUCUACCAACCUCAUCGGUCCGACAAGCCCCGGCACCUCAUCGGCCCGCUUGGAAGUAGCAAAGAAGCGCACAAAUUAGGCAGAUCGCCACCUUUGCCCAACAUGCAGGACCUACCCUGGCGUGGCGAUGAGCUCACGCUGCCCGUGCUCAAGCCAAACCAACGCCGUCUCGCAAGGAGUGGGAGCUUCUUUCAGGUGCUCAACCACAGGGUGCUCAACAUGUUUUGUGCUCUUUUUUAAAAUAUAUUUUUCAAACUGAUAUGGAAAGCUGGCAUCCAUCCCAUAGUAUUGUAGUAGAGCACGCUUUUCAUUUGUAGAGGCGAGAUGCACAGCAUAGUGGUGGCAUCCACUUCUCAUCUGCUAGCAUCCACUUGGUCGGCUGAGGAGGCGGACGGCGGACCGGACCUUUCCCGAUGUGGCUGCCCCCCAACUGGCGUCUGGCGCCCCCCAAGUUGCCGAAAAAAGUAAUUCUUCUUUCGCCCUCCCGUGUCCCGUCGCCUGUUAGUUUCUGCUUUGUUUUGAGUGCAGGCGCAGAUCUGCUGCCCACUUGACCGAGAUCGAUCCUUACUAAAGAUAAUUUAGCUAA
rnacentral:lncRNA from 7 species